AUAAAGGUGGCAGAAUAGUGCAUUAGAUUUAAGCUCUAAAUAAGAGUUAUUUACUCUCUUUAUA
rnacentral:tRNA from 1 species